GAUGAACGCUAGCGGGAGGCCUAACACAUGCAAGCCGAGCGGUAUUUCUUCUUCGGGAGAGAGAAAGCGGCGUACGGGUGCGGAACACGUGUGCAACCUGCCUUUAUCUAGAGGAUAGCCUUUCGAAAGGAAGAUUAAUACUCUAUAAUAUAUUAAUUGGCAUCAAUCGAUAUUGAAAACUCCGGUGGAUAGAGAUGGGCACGCGCAAGAUUAGCUAGUUGGUGAGGUAACGGCUCACCAAGGCAAUGAUCUUUAGGGGGCCUGAGAGGGUGAUCCCCCACACUGGUACUGAGACACGGACCAGACUCCUACGGGAGGCAGCAGUGAGGAAUAUUGGUCAAUGGGUGCAAGCCUGAACCAGCCAUCCCGCGUGAAGGAUUAAGGUCCUAUGGAUUGUAAACUUCUUUUGUAUAGGGAUAAACCUACCCUCGUGAGGGUAGCUGAAGGUACUAUACGAAUAAGCACCGGCUAACUCCGUGCCAGCAGCCGCCGUAACAC
rnacentral:rRNA from 1 species